GAUGAACGCUGGCGGCGUGCUUAACACAUGCAAGUCGAACGUGAGGGUGUAGCAAUAUGCCUGAAAGUGGCGAACGGGUGAGUAACACGUAGAUGACCUGCCCUGGAGUGGGGGAUAACCAUUGGAAACGGUGGCUAAUACCGCAUACAUCCAGAAGAUUGGGAAAUUUUCUGGGGAAAGCUCUGGUGCUCUGGGAGGGGUCUGCGUCCGAUUAGCUAGUUGGUGAGGUAAAGGCUCACCAAGGCGACGAUCGGUAGCUGGUCUGAGAGGACGAUCAGCAACACGGGAACUGAGACACGGUCCCGACUCCUACGGGGGGCAGCAGUGAGGAAUAUUGGGCAAUGGGCGAGAGCCUGACCCAGCAACGCCGCGUGGAGGAAGACGGCCUUCGGGUUGUAAAGCUCUUUUGUCCGGGAAGAUAAUGACUGUACCGGAAGAAUAAGCCCCGGCAAACUUCGUGCCAGCCGCCGCCGUAA
rnacentral:rRNA from 1 species